AGCUUUGCACAGUGGCAGUAUCGUAGCCAAUGAGGUUUAUCCAAGGAGUGAUUAUUGCUAAUUAAAUCAACUUCAGUCAUGUAACUUCAAUUAGAAUAUUCUGGAUGAAAAGGAUUUUAUUAUAUUCUGUUUCCUAGU